ACGAACCCGUGUGCCCUACAUCGGCAGGCGGACUCUCAACCACUGCGCCACCAGGGUGAAUAUCUCUCUCCUGGAAUAGAUGACAGCAGGUUCUUCUGGAAGAAUGCAUUAGGGAGGUUUAAGUCUGAGCUCCUUAGUAUGAUGUGAUGGACUGACCUAGCAAGAUCUGACUUCUGCUUAUGGCUCCAACUUCACCUCCCACCCAGACCAACUAAUAGUUUCAGGCGGUGUUUCAGCAUACACGAGAACAAGUCCAGCUGGGGCUUCCCCGGGGCCACAGGGGGGGCCAGGCGAUUGAUUCGGUCCCGAAUAUCUAACAAGAGGAGCAUCACAGACGAAGAGGAGUAGAACUGGCCGCCCUGCGUGUAGGACUGGUUGACCUGCUGCACGGCGCUGCGGAGGAGGUCGGCGUUGAACCUCAGGCUGUACCCGAACACCUGCACAUCCGAGAUCUUGAUGUAGAACUGCCUCUUGGAGGGAUCGGACAGGUCCACAGGGCCCUGGCCAGUCUCAUUCCGCAGGAGGGU